CCUACGGGAGGCAGCAGUGGGGGAUAUUGCACAAUGGGGGGAACCCUGAUGCAGCGACGCCGCGUGGGUGAAGGAGCGUUUCGGCGCGUAAAGCCCUAUCGGCAGGGAAGAAGGAGGACGGUACCUGACUAAGAAGCCCCGGCUAACUACGUGCCAGCAGCCGCGGUAAUACGUAGGGGGCAAGCGUUAUCCGGAUUUACUGGGUGUAAAGGGGGCGCAGACGGCAGCGCAAGCCAGGAGUGAAAGCCCAGGGCCCAACCCCGGGACUGCUCUUGGAACUGCGCGGCUGGAGUGCAGGAGGGGCAGGCGGAAUUCCUGGUGUAGCGGUGAAAUGCGUAGAUAUCAGGAGGAACACCGGUGGCGAAGGCGGCCUACUGGACUGCGACUGACGUUGAGGCCCGAAAGCGUGGGGAGCAAACAGGAUUAGAUACCCGAGUAGUC
rnacentral:rRNA from 1 species